CAGUCGAACGAGAGAAUUGCUAGCUUGCUAAUAAUUCUCUAGUGGCGCACGGGUGAGUAACACGUGAGUAACCUGCCCCCGAGAGCGGGAUAGCCCUGGGAAACUGGGAUUAAUACCGCAUAGUAUCGAAAGAUUAAAGCAGCAAUGCGCUUGGGGAUGGGCUCGCGGCCUAUUAGUUAGUUGGUGAGGUAACGGCUCACCAAGGCGAUGACGGGUAGCCGGUCUGAGAGGAUGUCCGGCCACACUGGAACUGAGACACGGUCCAGACACCUACGGGUGGCAGCAGUCGAGAAUCAUUCACAAUGGGGGAAACCCUGAUGGUGCGACGCCGCGUGGGGGAAUGAAGGUCUUCGGAUUGUAAACCCCUGUCAUGUGGGAGCAAAUUAAAAAGAUAGUACCACAAGAGGAAGAGACGGCUAACUCUGUGCCAGCAGCCGCGGUAAUACAGAGGUCUCAAGCGUUGUUCGGAAUCACUGGGCGUAAAGCGUGCGUAGGCUGUUUCGUAAGUCGUGUGUGAAAGGCGCGGGCUCAACCCGCGGACGGCACAUGAUACUGCGAGACUAGAGUAAUGGAGGGGGAACCGGAAUUCUCGGCGUAGCAGUGAAAUGCGUAGAUAUCGAGAGGAACACUCGUGGCGAAGGCGGGUUCCUGGACAUUAACUGACGCUGAGGCACGAAG
rnacentral:rRNA from 1 species